rnacentral:tRNA from 1 species
GCCACGGUGGUCUAGCGGAUAGAACGCUGGCCUUGUAAUCCUGGGGUCUCGGGUUCGAUUCCCGGCUGUGCCC